rnacentral:rRNA from 1 species
GUCUUUUUGAGAAAAAUUUAAAGUCCAAUCUGCUCACUGAAUAAUUAAAGAGCCGCAGUAUUUUAACUGUGCAAAGGUAGCAUAAUAAAUAGUUUUUUAAUUGAAAACUUGUAUGAAAGAUUAGACGAAAAAUGUAUUUUCUUUAUUUUAUUAAAUUAAAUUUUAAAUUUAAGUGAAAAUGCUUAAUUUUAAUUAAAAGACGAGAAGACCCUAUAGAUUUUUAUUAUUAAACUAAAUUUUAUAUUGUGAUUUAAUUAAAUAAUUUAAUUGGGGCGAUUUUGUAAUAUGAAAAACUUAAUUUAUUUAUACCAUAUAUAAUUGAAUAUUUUGAUCUAAAAAUUUUAAAGAAAAGAUUAAAUUACCUUAGGGAUAACAGCGUAAUUUUAUUUAAGAGUUCAUAUCUAUAAUAAAGUUUGCGACCUCGAUGUUGAAUUAAGAUAAUAUAUUGGAGUAGAAAUUAGUAUAAUUAGUCUGUUCGACUAUUAAAUUCU